UACGUAGGGCGCAAGCGUUAUCCGGAAUUAUUGGGCGUAAAGAGCUCGUAGGCGGUUUGUCGCGUCUGCCGUGAAAGUCCGGGGCUCAACUCCGGAUCUGCGGUGGGUACGGGCAGACUAGAGUGAUGUAGGGGAGACUGGAAUUCCUGGUGUAGCGGUGAAAUGCGCAGAUAUCAGGAGGAACACCCGUGCGGAAGGCGGUCUCUGGGCGUAC
rnacentral:rRNA from 1 species